CUUUAGGUGAGGAUCCCAUUCCCAGCUUCCGGGGUUCUCACCACUCCUUAUUGGCCACAUCAGAUUUAUGUAUUUACAUGACCAGCUAUCUGCCCAGCCCUGUGGCUAACAGAAUUUUCCACCCGAACAGUGGAUGUCUCUAAGUUUUGAGAGUCUAUUAAUUCAAGUAGAAACAAACCAAAGGCAGAUUUGCAGAAUUUAGUAUAGUUUUAAACUUUGAGCUUUUCUCUCAUUCUCAUCGGAAUGAGAAUAAUGCCAGUCUUUACUGGUGAUCUUCAUUGAUGACAAUGAUAGUUGGUGAUAAAUAAUAGUGAAAAAGUUGGCAUUUGUUUCCACUCGUUCCACAUGUUUAUUGAGAGCUGCUCUGUGUUAGCACUUCUCUAGGUCUCAGGAAUACAGCAGCGAAGAAAACAGACAAAAAUGGAACUUGAAUCCCAGUGUGGGUGGAGGGAGACAGACAAUAGAGAAGAUACAUCAUUGUAUUAGAUGGCGAUAAGCACUACAGAGAAAAGUUGGGAAAGAAGGGGGCACGGGUUCAGUCCCUGGUUGGGGAACUGGUCAGAUCCCGCAUGCUACAUGGCACAGCCAAAACCAAAGGACAGAGGAGGACAGUGACAGAUGAAGCUGGAGAGGACCAAUGGGACCAGGGGCUUGAGAUCGUGGUGGCAGGGAACCACUGAAGAUUUUCCACGGCAUUUCUCCUUGGUGCCCCAGAGGUGUUGGAUCCUUGUUGCUUUAGUUUACGGUGACCUUGGAGCUCAGAUAAUGGAGACUGAACAAACACAGUGGGAAGAACUCAGACUGCCUGUGGGGCGACAUCCCUCCCUGGCUCCUUGCUCACCAAGCAUCCUCUGUACCUGCUGAACUUCUACAGAAUACCCUUAGGUAAGAAUUGUAGGGCUUCCCUGAUGGCUCAGUGAUAAAGAAUCCAAACUGCCAAAGCAGGAGACGCAGGUCUGAUCUCUGGUCGGGGAGCAUUCCACACGCUGCAGAGCACCUAAGCUCAUGUACCACAACUACUCAUCCUGUGCUCCAGAGCCCAGGAACCACAACUACUGAGCCCACCCGCCACAGGUGCUGAAGCCCACAUGUCCCAGGGCCAGUGCUCCCCAGAAGGAGAAGCCCCUGCAAUGAGAAGCCUGUGUACUGUGACGAGAGAGUAACCCCUACUUGCAGCAACUAGAGAAAAGCCCAUAUAACAAAGAAGACCCAGCAGAGCCAAAAAUAAAUAGUGCCAAAUCAGCGUGAAGUCUUUUUGAAGACAUUGUCAGCAGAGAUUAAACCAACGUCUGCGGUGCUGGCGCUGCCCAAAGCUUAACGACAAGGAUGACGAGAUGCGGAACCGUGACCGAGUUCGUGCAUGCGCACUACAUCACCGCCGUCUCCCGCCUGCUUGCGAUUUGAGAUGCCGCCGUUACCACACACGGCCUUAUUUCAGAGACGUUAAAAUUAUGUUGAAAAAGGUGUCGUAAGUUUGAUGGAGUACAAUAAGAAAAUUUGAAUGUCCUCCCUAA